AGAAGUCAGGACUGGAACUCAGGUC
rnacentral:misc_RNA from 1 species